rnacentral:misc_RNA from 1 species
UAAACAUUAAGUAUCAUCCACGUAUGAUUUGAACGAACAGAAUGAUCAGGGCAAUUGAAAAGCAACACACAAGAAAUCAAUGCAAAACGAUGAAGACACAAAAGAAGUUAAUCUAUUAGACUUAGAAGACAAUUAAUAUAUAGCAAUAGAGACAAGCCAUAGGCUUUUUCUCGACAAUAACACACCAGAAAGCAACAUUAACCGUUCAAUGAUAAUCCACCGGCAUUAAACAACACGAGGUAACAGUUGAUUAAAACCCUAACAACAAAUUAAAUUUCCUCGUUAUAUAUAUGAGAGGGAAAGCCUCCUCAUACCGCCUCUUUAACCUGCUUAGGCAUGGAACCAGCUUCAGGGAUCUUACCAUAACCCAUCUUCUUAGCGCUAAGAUCAUCCUCUUCAUCUCCAUCCUCGCCAUCAAAUUCCUCAUAGCGGUAAUCGUAGCGGGUAGAGAAGAGGGACCAGACCAAGUACAUGGUAGCGGCGGUAAGAGCGCCACAACCAACGCCAAAAAGCAAAGCGACCACGACACUGAGAAUGUCCUUGGUGCGAUCACGGAGAGAACUCAUGUCAUAGGAAGAAAGCCCAAAAGGCAAGACAGGAGCUUCUUGCGGCUUUUGGAUAGCUUUGGGUUGAGAAUCUUGAUCAUCACCAUCAUCAUCAACGGUGGGGAAAACCCGGCGAUCGAGGAGGAUCUCAGAGGACGAACGUUGUUGAGUAAUUUCGGUGACGAUGGUGAAGAAUCCGGAGGAGGAAGGGUGAUGAGAGUUAGGGUAAAUGGGCUUGAUGGAGAAGGAGUAGGAGGAGAUGAAGAGCGUUUUGCAGGGUCUAGCAGAGGCAGAGAACGAGAGAAAAGCAACAAGAAUUGAGAAUAGAAGAAGAAGCUUUCGAUUUCGUGAAGCCAUUGAAAUGGAAAAGAAACCCAGCCGAUAGCCGGAAUUGAAACUAGAUGAAUAAAAGGUGACACCGUGGACUUCUUCUUGGGUCAGAGAAUAUUAUUUAUUUACGGCCACCUGUAAUUAAGGCAAGG